GCCGGGCUGCUUCGGAUUCGUAGGGGCAGUACCCUGGACACACGCGUGGUCUGGUGAUCCAGAGAGCAGAAGCUUACAGGUGGGAGAGAUCCCUGGGGGUCGUCCAGAGGAGCAGGAAGCCGCGAAGGCGAAAGGAACGAGCAGACGCAGGAGCUGGCGGAACUACCCGGACCAUGUCCACUGUGGUAGCUCAGUCGCUGCAUGUUUUUGGUCUUCGAUCCCACGUGUCCAACAAUGUCUUCUUCUUCGAUGAACAGAUCAUUAUAUUUCCUUCAGGAAAUCACUGUGUGAAGUACAAUGUGGAUCAGAAAUGGCAAAAAUUCAUUCCAGGCUCAGACAAGAGUCAGGGCAUGUUGGCCUUGGCCAUCAGUCCCAAUCGGCGCUACCUCGCUAUCUCAGAGACCGUGCAAGAUAAACCUGUCAUCACCAUUUAUGAACUGUCAGCCAUCCCCUGCCGGAAGCGCAAAAUCCUUAAUAAUUUUGACUUUCCAGUUCAGAAGUUUAUUUGCAUAGCUUUUUCUCCAGACUCCAAAUACCUCUUGACUCAGACCUCACCUCCAGAAUCAAACCUUGUCUAUUGGCUGUGGGAAAAACAGAAAGUCAUGGCCAUUGUUAGAAUCGACACUCAGAACAAUGCUGUCUACCAGGUGAGCUUCAAUCCCCAGGAUAACACUCAGAUUUGUGUCACUGGAAAUGGGAUGUUUAAGCUUCUCCGUUUUGCUGAGGGAACCCUGAAGCAAACUAAUUUUCAGAGGGGAGAACCCCAAAACUAUCUUGCCCACACCUGGGUGUCUGAUGACAAGAUUAUUGCUGGCACUGAUACGGGCAGACUCUUCCUCUUUGAAUCUGGAGAUCAACGCUGGGAGACAAGUAUCGUGGUCAAGGAGCCCACCAGCGAGACAAAGAACCUGGGGAUGAUCCAGGAAUCAGAGAGCCUGAUCGAAUUUCCAGCAGCCUCUUCCCCAGUCCCUUCCUACGAGCAGGUCAUGAUGACCAGCAGCCACAGCCAGCUCUCGCUGCCCCAGGUGUUUGCCAUCGCAGCCUAUUCAAAGGGAUUUGCCUGUUCUGCUGGGCCAGGGAGAGUUCUGCUGUUUGAGAAGAUGGAAGACAAGGAGUUUUACCGUGAGAGCAGGGAGAUCCGGAUUCCUGUGGAUCCACAGAGCAAUGACCCAAGUCAGUCGGACAAACAGGACGUGCUCUGCAUGUGCUUCAGCCCCUCUGAGGAAACGCUGAUCGCCAGCACCAGCAAGAGCCAGCUCUACAGCGUCACCAUGUCCCUGACGGAGAUCAGCAAGGGGGAGCCUGCCCACUUUGAGUAUCUGAUGUACCCGUUACACUCGGCAUCCAUCACUGGUCUAGAUACUUGCAUCCGCAAACCCCUCAUUGCCACCUGCUCUAUAGAUCGGUCGGUCCGCAUCUGGAAUUAUGAAUCAAAUUCUUUGGAGCUAUUUAAGGAAUACCAAGAAGAAGCUUAUACAAUCAGCCUUCACCCAUCUGGACACUACAUUGUGGUAGGGUUUGCUGACAAACUACGCAUUAUGAAUCUACUUAUUGAUGAUAUACGUUCUUUCAAAGAAUACUCUGUCAGAGGGUGCAAAGAGUGUUCCUUUAGCAAUGGAGGUCACCUGUUUGCUGCAGUCAAUGGGAACGUGAUUCACAUUUUUUCCACCACAAGCCUAGAGAAUAUCUCAAACCUGAAAGGACACACAGGGAAGAUCCGUUCAGUUGCAUGGAAUACAGAUGACAGCAAGCUGAUUUCUUGUGGCACAGAUGGUGCUGUGUACGAAUGGAGUCUGUCCACAGGAAAGAGAGAGACAGAAUGCGUGCUCAAGUCCUGCAGCUACAACUGCGUCACCAUCUCUCCUGACGGCAAAAUCAUCUUUGCUGUUGGGUCAGACCAGACUCUCAAGGAGAUUGCAGAUUCCUCAGUAAUUCGAGAGAUGUCAGCAUUUGACGUCAUCUACACGGCCAUCGUCAUCUCCCACUCCGGGCGCAUGAUGUUUGUGGGCACCUCGUUGGGAACCAUCCGUGCAAUGAAGUACCCGCUCCCUCUGCAGAAAGAAUUCAAUGAGUACCAGGCCCACGCAGGUCCUGUGACCAAGAUGUCACUCACCUUUGACGACCAGUUCCUGCUGAGCGUUGCCGAGGAUGGCUGCCUAUUCACCUGGAAGGUCUUUGAUAAGGAUGGCCGGGGAAUCAAGCGAGAGAGGGAGGUGGGCUUUGCUGAAGAGGUGCUGGUUACCAAGACAGACAUGGAAGAGAAGGCUCAGGUUAUGUUGGAACUGAAGACUCGUGUGGAAGAACUAAAAAUGGAGAAUGAGUAUCAGCUUCGACUGAAGGAUAUGAACUAUUCUGAGAAGAUUAAGGAGCUGACAGACAAGUUCCUCCAGGAAAUGGAGUCCUUGAAAACAAAAAACCAGGUUUUAAAAACCGAGAAAGAAAAGCAGGAUGUACUCCAUCGAGAAUGCAUGGACGACCUCCUGGACAAACAGAGCCGGGAACUGCAGGACCUAGAAUGUUGCAACAACCAAAAGUUGCUCCUGGAAUAUGAGAAGUACCAGGAGUUGCAGCUCAAGUCCCAGAGGAUGCAGGAGGAAUACGAGAAGCAGCUUCGGGAUAACGAUGAGACCAAGAGCCAGGCCCUGGAGGAGCUGACUGAGUUUUACGAGGCCAAACUGCAGGAGAAAACCACCCUCCUGGAAGAGGCACAGGAGGAUGUCAGGCAGCAGCUGCGGGAGUUUGAAGAGACCAAGAAGCAGAUUGAAGAAGAUGAAGACCGUGAGAUCCAAGACAUCAAGACCAAAUAUGAGAAGAAGCUUCGGGAUGAGAAGGAAGCAAACCUGAGACUCAAAGGAGAAACAGGCAUCAUGAGGAAGAAGUUCAGCAGCUUGCAGAAGGAGAUUGAAGAGCGAACCAACGACAUUGAGCUCCUGAAGGGGGAGCAGGUGAAGCUGCAAGGGGUCAUCAAGUCCCUGGAGAAGGACAUCAUGGGCCUCAAGCGGGAGAUCCAGGAAAGAGACGAGACGAUUCAAGAUAAGGAGAAGCGAAUCUAUGAUCUGAAAAAGAAAAAUCAGGAACUAGAGAAAUUCAAGUUUGUGCUUGACUACAAAAUAAAGGAGCUGAAGAAGCAAAUUGAGCCUCGAGAGAAUGAGAUCAAGGUGAUGAAGGAACAGAUUCAAGAGAUGGAAGCCGAACUGGAGCGUUUCCAUAAGCAGAACACACAACUGGAGCUGAACAUCAUAGAACUGUGGCAGAAAUUAAGAGCCACUGAUCAGGAGAUGCGCAGAGAGAGACAGAAGGAGCGGGACUUGGAGGCGCUGGUCAGACGGUUCAAGACGGACCUCCACAACUGCGUGGCCUACAUCCAGGAGCCGCGGCAGCUGAAGGAGAAGGUCCGCGCUCUCUUUGAGAAGUACGUGCAGCGGGCAGAUAUGGUGGAGAUCGCGGGGCUGAACUCAGACCUGCAGCAGGAGUACGCCCGUCAGCGGGAACACCUGGAGAGGAACCUGGCCACUCUCAAAAAGAAGGUGGUCAAGGAGAGCGAGCUGCACCGCACAGAUUAUGUCCGCAUCAUGCAGGAAAAUGUCUCCCUGAUCAAGGAGAUUAAUGAGCUCCGCAGAGAGCUGAAGUUCACCCGCUCCCAAGUCUAUGACCUUGAAGCAUCUCUGAAACUGACGAAGAAAAUUCAACCAGAGGUUUCAGAGACAGUGUCCACUGAGGACUUGCCCAGUGUCCCUCCCACCAUGAGGUUGAAUGUGCAGGAGGAAACUGGGAGAAUCAUCGAGAUGCAGCGCCUGGAGAUCCAGCGCCUGAGAGACCAGAUCCAAGAGCAAGAGCAGGUCCCUGGCUUCCACCCCCUGGCUGGGGUGCAGCUGCCGUCCCUCAGCGUAGAAGCGGAUUCAAAGGCCCAGACCAAGUGACACCCUCUGAUGAGACGUCUCCAGCCACUCCGGAAGCUCACCCAGGUGUAGGUUAGGCAGGUGAAGCACCUCCCCGGAAACGGAGCUGGAGCGCCCCACCUGCCCGCCCUGACUGCUCGGGAUCGGAUCCAGCUACUCCAGGCUUCUUGAGCCAGCGGUGACAGCUGAGGCCAUGUGAGUCAGAUCCUGAAUGAGGCUUUAUCUGCGAGUCUUCAUCCAGUCCCAUCGUCCACUGUGACACCAGCUCCAUUGGCCAGCCGGAAUGGGACAGGCAACUGAGACAGCCAGAGCCAGAGAGGUCAGGGGUUGGGCAGGGGGUUCCCUAGAGGGCUGGGGGUGCUUUGGGUGGAGGGAGCUCUCCUGGGGUCUCCGGA